rnacentral:rRNA from 1 species
UAGAACGCACAGGAUGCACCGUAGUUUACUACACCGUAUUCUGUGAGUUGCGAACGGGUGAGUAACGCGUAGGUAACCUGCCUGGUAGCGGGGGAUAACUAUUGGAAACGAUAGCUAAUACCGCAUAAGAACAUUUACUGCAUGGUAGAUGUUUAAAAGGUGCAAAUGCAUCACUACCAGAUGGACCUGCGUUGUAUUAGCUAGUAGGUGAGGUAACGGCUCACCUAGGCGACGAUACAUAGCCGACCUGAGAGGGUGAUCGGCCACACUGGGACUGAGACACGGCCCAGACUCCUACGGGAGGCAGCAGUAGGGAAUCUUCGGCAAUGGGGGGAACCCUGACCGAGCAACGCCGCGUGAGUGAAGAAGGUUUUCGGAUCGUAAAGCUCUGUUGUUAAGGAAGAACGAGUGUGAGAAUGGAAAGUUCAUACUGUGACGGUACUUAACCAGAAAGGGACGGCUAACUACGUGCCAGCAGCCGCGGUAAUACGUAGGUCCCGAGCGUUGUC